UCUUCCUGCUAAUACUGGCAGGUUAUAAUUUCAUAAGAAAAAGAAGUUCCACAGAACAGUCGUAGAUAAUAAUACAGAGGCAAAACGUUAUAAGUUCUCGGGGGGAGGGGGGUUAGCACAGCCAGACGAAUUUCAAGAAGUAAUACACAGCUUACCUGCCACAGCGUCAUACUAAACGAAAUUUACUGUGAGACGUGGUUCGCAAUAAAAUUUUCUCUCAUAAACGUAGCGCCGCGACGGCCAAAGCUCGACGCUUCUGCGAGCCUGAAUUAUUAUACUGUAUUAUAAGGUAUAUAACGUGAGAUCCAUUUUGCGAAUUCAAGAAAAAUUAUUCGCAUCCCCCAUCACGAAUGCGCUUCCUGACAGCGCAUAAGGCGAAAAUUAUUUCCAGUCUGGUAUAUAACCUUCAAUCUUUAUAGCCAAUGCACGUAUCUUUGGUUCCGUCGAAUCGCGAAGUUAAUCGAAGGAUUGAUAAAUACACGUGGCAAAUAUCGUGACUGCAAGCGCACGCAUUUAUCGUGGCAAACAGACGAACUAAGUAAACAGAGAAAGAAUCAGCGGAUUAUUACUGAGCAAACAGUACGAAAUAACAAGAAGAGCCUCCAUUGCUAUACUAGUCAUGAAAUUGGACUCUGCUUCGAAUAAUAAUAUCGCGUGGCCAUUGCUCGUUUUACCAAUAUUCGUUUAUCUCUGUCUCUCUUCAUUUUCUUCUCUUUUUUAUUCUUUCUCCGUCUCUCUAUCCCCAUCUAACCCCCUAUCGGGAAACAAUUAGACAGCGGUAUGCUUUUAGUCAGGAAUUCGAUAUCUCAUUUAGAAAUUUGAUAUCUCGUCUUAUAAUUUAAUUUCCAAAAAUGAUCCAACUGGGUAUAUACAUACACCCAGUAUAGUAUAGUAUAUUUGCUGAUGACGUUGAAAAAGUAUAAUGGAUUAUUAAGCACUGUCCUUCGACAGCUUUAAUGUAAUACGUUUAAACUUUCAUUGGGAUUGCCCCAUAACUGAUUUAAAUCCAAAGCAUAAGGUCAUACAGUCACGCAAAGCAUUUGUGAAAAUCCCUGUAUCACUUCCACGCGCUGUGACAAUAUUGACCUGACGCUAUAAUGAUACAGCGGCUACAGUAUCAUUCGUAUUUACCUACCGCGAUAUUCCUCCUAAAGUACCACAUUUCUAUCUUGAAAAGCUUUUACACCAAAUAAUUAAGUAAAUUUGAAAAAAUAUUAUCUUUAAUUGCGUAAUCUACGUCUUUCCUGAUACAUGCUUCUUAUUUAAGCGAAUUCCGUAUAUUUAAACCCAUUGCCAUUGGUAGUCACGAAAUAGCCAACUACCCUCGUUAGAUAACAUUUACUGGCUAAGCUCCACGAAUCAUUGCAAAAAAAAAAAAGACGUAGCUACAUUGCGUGCCAAGAAUUGCGUCACCUAUCGUUUCUUCAAUUAUCAUAGUUUAUAGUCUAAUAUUAAUAGAUAUCAAUGUAAAGCGUCAAAAUCGCACAAUCUUUAUUACAGACUUUAGUCAGACAUAGUUCCACCUCAAUGCCAUGCGAACAUUAAUAAUUCAAGAGGGUUCCAUAUUUAUUUUAAAAUCAUCUAUACGUAUCUGACUAACCUCAAUAUGUUUAUAGCCCGCUAUUUAUACUGAUAACACUUUAUGAUUUUUUUAGUUUUAUCGGAAUGGCCCUACGAUUCACAUUUUUCAUCCUCUCAAGUCAUGGAACGCGCAGCUGUUAUUUCUGCGUAUAGAAAUUUAAAAAAAUAUAUUGAUCUCGGCAAAACAUUCUACGAUCAUACAAUAACGAACUUCAUUACGCAAUAUAAGAAACUAUGCUAAGCUGUUCGCCAGCUACUAUUCAAAUCCAAGAAAGCUUCCCACUUUAAUUCCACAGGAAGAGCGAAUGGAAGGCUUCCAGAAAGCCGGAUGCUUAAUGAAUUCAACAUAGCAUCCGUUGUUCUCCUCGAGUUGCAUUUACGUGACUAUACGUUCAUUCACGUAAACCGGAAAUGCCCUGAUGCAUUUUAGAGAGAAUUUCAUGAAAAGUAAAUGGCCGCAAGUAUUCUCGUGCGAAAACGUUCAUUCGCAUAUAUGUAUAUCUAUAUUUGACUAUGUAUGUAUAUUCGGUAUACAAUUUAAACCUCAAUGAUUAAUAAUUUUUUCAAAUUAACUUCCCUCGUCAAAUGCCUGUUAAUUGUUUUAUUCUGUCGUUGACAUUUAUCUCCGCUUCGAGGAAACUUCUCAGAUAUGCCACUAACUGACUGAGCAGAAAUUUCCAGACAUACCCCGUAUUACGUGACGCGUUAACAGGUUCACCGGUUAGUAAACCGAAGAUAGUCUUCCCUUUAGCAAUUUAUCAGUAACCUCAAAGGAAACCGAGACAUUUACAUAUAUAUUUACUACUCGCAUACAGAUAUACUGAAACAUGUCGGAGUAAGCGUGUUAGUCAAUAAUCCUAGUCGUGUUUCUAGUAAACCGAUGGAAUUUACGAUAAAGUCACUCAAUAAUACAUACCAAAUGUCUAAGCAAGCAAUUAAACGCAUUACAAUCAGAGAGGAGUGAUUAGUUCCCGUGAAAAUUUUCUAGUGAUAUUCUGACCUCUUUACGCUAUAAGCAUCGGUCUAUGUAGCAUAAUAAUCUGACGCGAGAGUACGCGUGUUUCCCGCGAGAGGCGUUGAAAUUAAAAUGGACGAUCGUCAAUGAGGAGACGUGAAUUAUCUCCAAAGGGUCUCGCAAGUAUUUCGUCAUUCCUGUCAAAGCGAGGAAAUUCGGGGACUGAAGAGGUUAUGGCGGCGUGUCGUGGAAGAGAAAACUGAAAGAAUAAGAGGAAAAGGAUAAUCGCAAGGAAUAAUAUUGUGUGCGAAAGAACGAUAUUACGAAGGAGGGUUGAAAACAUCCCUAUUACAGAUAACGACUUUGGCAUCUAGACCUUCGUCGAGUGCAAACCUAACCUCACGGGUAAUCGAUGGCUCUUGAAAAAUGUAAAUGGCUUGGUGGGAGUAAGAUGUGUAUUGGAAAAACAAGAAGAAAACGAAGCAACGACGUAAAAAGGAAGUUUUAUUUACAACUUUAUGGAGACCUUAAAGCGUAUGGAAUUUUUUAUUUAUCAAUGCGGACUGCUUUUAGGUGACGAGCUUAAUCCAAAAUUAGUUUUUUAUACGUGGAAGCUUAUUUCUGACAUGUGAAUACCUCGAUAUUCUUGUCGCCACAAAGUGCCUGUUGCUUUAAGCAAUUUUUCACUACGUGAUACAAAUUGAAAAAUAGAUUUUUCAUCAAGUCAAUAAAACGACAAGAAACGGGACGUGUGAUUUACUUCCGGAAUACGAUGCUUCUCAACCAAUAUUAUGAAGCUGAGUGUCGAUUUGAAAUGGCGAGCAGCGUAACGCGUGUGUGCACUGGCUAAUGUGUUUGCUGGGCAAACUGUCUGUGGCAAAGGUCGCAUCCGUUAAUGCACGAGAUGCUGCGUUCGCGUUGCUCGGUGUUAAGUAACACGGAAGGAAAUGCAGAAAGAGGUUACGAAGAGGAAUACAUAUUCAUGAGAGAAAUAUUUAAUCCUGAAAUUCUUCGAGGAUCGAUGCGUCUCUCGUCACGUUGAAGGAUCUCGUGACAUUUUGGCAAAGGACGUUGGCUUGGCUUGUAUAGAAAUUUUAAACUAGCAAGGGUAAGGGAAAGUGAAAAAAAAAGGAAAAGACGGAGAGCGAGAGAAUUACUUUGAAAUUCAAAUGGUUCCCGUAAUACGACGUCUUCUUGUCCCUGUAUUCGCAGCUUCCUUCAAUUUCGUAACGUUGAGCUCCUGAUACUUAUUCACCCACAAAUUAAAAUGUAAAUAAGGAAAAUUGCUCUCUUGUGGUUCGCCGACUGACAAAACUGAUGGAGUCGAGAAAAAAGGAACUAUGGUAUACAAGAAUUCUCUUUAACGAGGAAGUGAAAGAGUUCGAGCCCAUCGCGAGAAUUCGCAAGAACUUUCUCCAAGCUUUCCACAAGUGGCUACGCGCUCCUGAGGGACUUUAUGGCACAUUAACCACCGUAUACUUUACCAUCGACCCUGGACCAUACGUUUUUUUUUUAAUUUUUUUUCUGGACAUCACAUUCAUCAUUCAAAUCAGACGACAGCUGCUUUUUUUUAAAUAUCCUCUACCAAGACUCCACUUUUUACAAAAUUAACUUUACACGCUCCUAAGGUUAAACAAGAAUAAAAUAGGUUGUUUUGUACCGUCGAAGGACAGCGCCUUGUACCAACAUUUAUGCUUUCAAUCGUUGAUCAUUAAGUUUCUUCUUUUCGUGACCGUCUGCCCAAUGUCGUUUUGGCUCGACUGUGUGAUAAUUGAGAUCUAAAUGCUCUGCUGUCGGUUUCAUUUACGCGUACAGUAUAUAUUAUACAUGUGAAUAUGUUAAUUUGGUUAUAUAUACAGCAUAGUAAUCGUGACUGCUUCCUAUACGGAUGCGGGUAUCAGAUUAGCAAUAUUGUUUGACGGUUCUCCCACAAAGGCCUCAUACAUUAGCGGGCUCUGUCGUUCCCUUAGCAAAUACCCGCUUUAACCGUGAACCCGCAACCUUUCAUCGGAAUUAGUGAGUGGCGCCACUUUAAAAACGCUCUUGUUAAAUGUGUACUGAGCAUUAAACAUUUGUCUUUUACUUUUCAAUUAUAUUUUUACGUACCGCGUUGCCCUUUAGUUUCGCCUAACGAAUAUUUCUAUUUACUGUAAAACUACAGUUAUUUCGUUCUGAUAAAAAGUUACACGACAAGUGCAAAAACACAGCUGAUAUCCAGCUGAUGAAUUCGAAAGACUUGCGAGACAUUUUACUAGUUAAGCUUUGCCUUCUUCUUCUUCUUCUUUUUCUCCUCUCUUCUUUCGUUCCCGCUGCCUCUCCUCUCGUCUGUAAUAAUAGCCAAAGUUUCGCCACGGUUAUCACCAGCAACAUACAACACCUGUACUGGAAUGAAGAAACAAAACAUCCACCCCCAACGUAGGGGUAGCGCUAAGCAUACAAAAGUUCAGAAGGGAUGAUCCUGUAGUAAGCCUCUUAAAAUGAUGCUCCUCUCCUCGUGUCUGUAGGUGAAAAUAAAGUUAUCCUGGUUGGGAUAACGCUUGACGAACACUAUAGGAAAAAAUGAAUAAAAAUGAAAAGGGAUGAUUUUCCAAAACCGUUUAAAACAUUAAAUGAGGUAACCAUCGAACGUGGCGUAAAGAUACCAUUCUAAUUCAGUCCAAUUAAGAUAUCAGUCUAAUUAAGAAAAAAUAAUAAUUUUGCCCUUUCUAAGAAGAACCACCCUAUGGAAUAUAAAAAUUUGUAUUCAUAGCAAGGCAAAAUAUUUUAACACUGAAUGAGUCUUAGUAAUUAUUAUAUUUAA